rnacentral:lncRNA from 1 species
ACUGUCCCGGCCGCUGGGAAACACUUCUUCAUGUCUCUUGUCCUUUGUCUUCAAAACAAAAGGUGGAACCCGGAAGCAGUGAGGAUCUGUGGGUGGGACAGCUGGCCUGGGCAGACAGAGGCUGCUGUGGAGUCCGGGUGGGAUUUGAGCAGCAAAGCGCUUAAAUAGGGUGAGAGGCAGAGAAGAAGCUCCUAUAAACCUCUCCAGUUUCCUGCUGAUUUCUUCAGGGGGCGGCGUCCUGUGUCAGAGCAGUACUCCUCUGUGCUCAUCUUGCACUUGGCCAAAACAAGGGGUGAAGAAGCUAAGCUCGGUUAAAAGGCAGAAGAGAAACAGGCAGAUCCCUGAAGUCCGCUGUUCUCCUGUUUUCCCCUACCCGAUAGCAGCAUAUUAAAAGCAUAAGCUUCCUGCAAAACUGAAAGAGAAGCCAAAGCUUUGCAGAUGGUACCCAGGCAGAGGGCCAGGAGGUAGAAACAGGCUCAUCAAGCCCCAGAGGGGAGCUAAGUCGCGCCGUCCACACGCUCCAGGUUCAGCGCUGCUGGUGAGGCGCCCCUUCCUUCCUUCUCUCCUGAGAAACCGGGCCUGCCUCCUCCCUGACGGGGCAUCAUUGCUUCCUCCACAACCAGGCGUGCUUGCCCGAGGACUCGCCGACCUCGCUGUCUGUCAGAGAAGCACAAAGACACCUGGAAGGCACGAAGGUGAUGAUAAUGUGAAAACAUACCAAAUGUUGGUCAUUGGUGUUAAGUGGAAAGGCAGAAGAUGACAUGGAAAAUACAUUAAAAUGACAAAUACCUAAAAAUAUGCACUUCAAUGGACAAAAUCAAAAGAAAACAUGGAAAAAUGUAUAUGUGUUAGCAUGGUGAGAUUAUGAC